AGAUAGGUUGGGGGUGGAAGUGCAGUAAUGCAUGGAGCUGACCAAUACUAAUCGGUCGAGGGCUUAUCCUAAAA
rnacentral:rRNA from 2 species